rnacentral:lncRNA from 1 species
GGAGCUUGGAGCUAAAUUUGGCUUUCUGGCUUUCUGCCAGACUGACACCUCCGUUCCUCUAGUGGUGAUUUCCAAAGGCAGCUUUUGUGGGUUUCAUGAAAUACUGUUUUUUUCUCUUUUUUUUGAAGCAGGUCAGUGUCACCCAGCCCUCACGGAGGGCUCUCAGCAGGACGCGCGGGUUGGCGGCUCUGCUUCCUUCCCGGAGAGGAGAAGCCUGCCCGGCUGGCCGCACCGCGCAGCUGUUUGCACCAUCGCAGCAGGGAACUGCAGCGGGGCACAGAUUCAGCUGGAAAAUCACCUCCGAGAAGUAAAACUGCCUGGGCUCACAGCGUGGAUGUCACCGUGAACGUCCAGAGGCGACUGGUGGUCUGGCUUGCCACGGGGCCCACGCUGGCCCACUGGCAAGCAGCCGCCCUGGCAAUGCACGUGACUCCCCCAGCGGCUGCCCUGGCCAAAUUCCCCAGAUCCUGCCCUAGGAGCCCCGGCCACCACACCUCUACUCCAGCCUCAGGGGACAAGCCAGCUUUCACUCGUUUUCCUGUAAAUUGGGCCAUGAUGCCUCUCAUUUCCUGGUGCUUUCCGUCUCAUGAUCUUAUCCCACUGAUUUUCCUUUACAAGCAACAGGGAAAUGCUGGGAAAGUUGUGGAAAACAGAAAGGAGAAACAGGUCACACUAGAAAUUCUGAAACCUCAGCAAAGCUCUUGUUUAAGGUGA